GCGUACCUAUGGGAGGCAGCAGUGAGGAAUAUUGGUCAAUGGACGAGAGUCUGAACCAGCCAAGUAGCGUGAAGGAUGACUGCCCUAUGGGUUGUAAACUUCUUUUAUAUGGGAAUAAAGUUUUCCACGUGUGGAAUUUUGUAUGUACCAUAUGAAUAAGGAUCGGCUAACUCCGUGCCAGCAGCCGCGGUGAUACGUAGGAUCCGAGCGUUAUCCGGAUUUAUUGGGUUUAAAGGGAGCGUAGAUGGGUUGUUAAGUCAGUUGUGAAAGUUUGCGGCUCAACCGUAAAAUUGCAAUUGAUACUG
rnacentral:rRNA from 1 species